rnacentral:lncRNA from 1 species
AAAAAUCGAGUUUUGAUUUUCGAGUUCUAGCUUUCGAGAUCUUUGGAGCUCAUCCUUUCUUCUCCUAUUUCUCUUCAUUGUUGCUGUGGUGUCUUUCAAGAGGUAAAUUGUCUUGCUCAAAACUCUUUGAUUUUUGAGCCAAAUGUGAGUUGUAUGUAUGGACAGAGUUAAUGAAAUGAGAAUACAUGCAAAGUUUAUGUCUUUUUUCCCAUUUUUGUUUUGAAUCUUAAAUGCUUAUGUGCUAUAAGUGCUUGAAUGUUGUUUUUGGAAGUCUUCUAACUGCUUAGAGGCUCCUAAGUUGUUUUGGAUUGUUUGUGAGUUAUUGCAUGUAAGUUGGAAGCGUUUUGGUGGCUGUUGGAUAAGGUAGAAUCAGAUUCUCAAGUUCGGCUGCCGAACUUACAUAUGAAGACUGCCUUUUGACUGCCUAACUUGCCUCUGAAGGUUUAAUCUUCGAAUCUGUAAAGGGACUUUAGACUACUGAACUUGCCGCCAAAAGUUUCCCGUCCAACCUUUUUCAGCUUGUUCUCUACAUGCUUUUUUAUAUGUUUAUAGGAAUUUCUUGGAGUAGUUUUAAGUGUUGUAAAUAUUAUGUCUGGUUCCUCAUUUAAGUCAAUCUGUGUACAUAGGAUCAAAUUUAGGAGAACGUAGAAACUUGCAGUGAGAUAAUUGCUUCAAACUAGGCCUGCGUCACUCAAAAGUGAGUAGAAAUAAAUCGAACUAUUAUUUUAAAUAAAUCAAAUGUUUUAACCAUGUUCAUGUAUCACGAAUGUCAUGUAUAUAUGAUUAAGUUGUCUUGUAUUAGAAUUCACAAAUAUGAUGUAUUGCAUAAUUUAUUGUUAUUGUGAUGGAUGUUGGAUGACUCACUAGUUUCGAGUAUAUUAUGUUAUGAUAUGUUAUGACGGAUAUGGAAGUGCAAUUCGAGACCCAUUUUACGCCCCUGUAUUAUAUAAGAAAAGGUUCAGGUCGAGACCUAUUCUACGUUCCUAACACUAUGUAUAUGUUAUGCU